GGAAAGGGGCGCCAGAGA
rnacentral:snRNA from 1 species